AACUAGUGCAGGCAAAUCUCACGUACCCGACUGAUAACUUGUAGCCGUUUUGUUUAUUGGUAGAGAGAGAUACGGCUGCACCUAAACUCACAAGUGCUAAUGUUGCUGCUCUCGCUGUGUGGAGUAAUGUGCCCACCUACAACAUGGCGGAGCAGCUCUCCAUCGGACGACGUGACUAGGAGGGAACGUCUGAUUGGUUCUUUGAUUUCAGUCACUGAAAUGAAUUCUCUUCCGUUAUGUCAUAGGGAGGAGACACAGGAACAGAUUCUGCAGAAGAGAGAGAUGUGUCUGUCAUACACUGUGUGUAUUCAUCUCCUACACUGAGCUGAGAUAUGAGAGGCUGUGUCCUGCUGCUGCCUGUAACUCCCUGUAACAACUCCCUGCAACUCCCUCCUCCUGUGUCCCUGACAUUCCCAUCCCCCGUACUCACAUCUCCAGCCUCAUCUACUGGAGAUGCCAGUCCUUGUCAUGGAUGUCAGACAGUCCUGAUAUGCAAUUAAUGUGGAUCACAGACGACCCUCCUGCCUCCCCACAGCAAGAGGAGCACCAACCAGUCUGAACAUGGAGUCACAUCUGUCUGGGUGCGACCCAAGAUUAGAAGUGAAAUUGGAGAAUGAGGAGUUGGACUGUAAGAAUCAUCUGAACUUGGUGACUUGUGAAAUGGGUCCCCCUUUUAUUAAUGGCUUUGCUCUCUCUGAGCCACGAACUGUACAGAUAAAGACUGAGACUGAGGAACUGCACAAUGAACAUCAUCUGAACCAAGUGGAGAGCUCAACAGUUCCACUUACUGAUGGGGAAUUUGUUCCAAAAGUAAAGAUGGAGAAUACAGAGUCGGCCUUUAAGGAACAUGAAGUCACGGCAGAGAGGGAAAUGGAUUCAGUUUCUACAGUAGGUUUCCCAGUGACUGAACCAGGAGCAAUGCAGAUAAAGACAGAGAAAGAAGAAGCAGAGUGUGAAGAUCAUCAGGACCCAAUGGAAAGUGCAGCAGUUCCACUUACUGACGGGGGGCAAUUCAUGGCUUCCAGUCAGACCCCUGAGAGGUCCGUGGCAAGCAGAACACUUGAGAGGGAUGUGCCCCCAGAAGUGGCUCCUGAUACAGGCAGUCUCCUGAGACAGAGCAUGAUGCUGCUGGGAGAGGAAUCCUUCCCGUUACGGCCGCACUCUAACGAGCAGCGCUCCAGUCUCUGCACCUUUGACUCCGCCUCUGUUCACUGCCAGGACUGCGUGGAGCACAAGCGACUGAUCAGAGAACUACAGGAGCAGCUGGAGUUUCUCAGAGGCACAGUCUCAGAAACGGUCAAAUCAGCUGUAUCGGAGGCAGUGACUGCAGCCACAGAGGCUCUGACGCAUUCCAUGCGGGACAUUGUGAGAGAUGCCGUGGCUCAGGCCAUGACUAAUAACAUCAAGAAGGAAGCAGCAAAUCAAAGCCAAGUCCCUGAGUGUGAAUGCCCAGCCGCCCCCUUACCUCCAACACCUAAAAACAGUGAUGGGGAUGAGAUGGUCACUGUCACCCCCCCUCCUGCUAGUGAUGUCAGCAAAGCAGAGAAGAGCUGGCACUCGAGUUAUAAGAGCAACUCAUUCCCUGGCACCAAGAGCAGCUCACCAUCAACGUCAGGGGCCGGCAACUGGAAAAUAGGGGAGCAGCUGCCGGACAUUGUCCUGGCCCCUUUGUCUAAAAAAACCCUCACCUACCUAGCCCGCCGCGCAAACAACGAAUGCCACCGAUUUGCACAAAUGAUUUUCCAGCACCAUGUCCCCUUCCCUCUGUACCAACAAUGGGCCAAGCAUGUCAAUAUCGACGGCUCCCGGGGGAAGAAGGCCCUACCCCGAAAUCUAAUGCGGGAUAUUAUGCUCCAGACAGAGGCCAAGUUCCGCCUCACCGACCAGGACCGUAAAAAAGUCAAGGACACCAUCAAUGCCCUGCUGAGAAUGCCCAGGGGCGCCAGCUGGAUCUCAGGGCCGGACAGUUUAAAUUAAAUGAAAUUGGACUUGGGGGUAGAGCACUGCCCUUUUUAUUGGCUCUUUUAAGGUGAGAACUGCACUCAACAAGAAAUACACCGGCCAUUUAUAUUGGGAUCUAUUUAUGGAAUUGUAUCGGCUAUUACCGACAUCAACGUCUCAGCAGUGGAAUGAUUCGUUGUUGGGCCCCUAAACACAGGCAAUUUAUUUAACUCAUGGAAAAACAAUGGAAUAAAUAUGUUCCAUAUCCUUUAGCCAACGGAUCGUAUAUCCCAUGUACUCGGGUACAUUCACUUACAAAGGCAAAGAGAGCAAAGAAAGAUUCAGAAUGGGGGAGUCUAGGGGCUGCCAUCUCAGGGGCCUGCGCCUCCUCCUGCGCCUCCUCCUGCAACCUACUUCCGCACUUGGGCCUCCUGCCCUAGCCGCAAACUCCAGUACCUUAGUUUAUCUUGUUACAGCCACAAUUGGGUCCGGGGGGAAGAUAAGGGUACAGCGCCCAGGGUGGGGAGAAGAUCUGGGUCUAUCGGGGCUACAGUGUGUCCUGCCGGCUAGUCUGACCCUGAUAAUUCUCUUGGCUCAAUUGCAGCACCCCGAGAACCCAUAGCAGGAUGGCACAGUGGCAAUUCCAUAUCUAAAUACCCCCAGUGACAGAUACUUACAGGGAAAGAAGCAACAGGUGAGAAAGAAGCAGAGGUAACAAUGAGUGAAAAUAUACUGCAUGUACCAAUACUGCAGGGGAUGCUGUGGAUUUUGGAGCAGGACUGGGGAAGCCACUAGGUAAGACCAGGCAGACAAGACUUCUCUGUUGCAGAGACUGACAUGGCUAUGGCUGUAACACUUCAUGGCAGCAACUUGUUAACCUCUAUAUAUGAAGAAUCAGCCCGCUUCUGUAGGCUUCUUCUGUAGGCCGUUUCUGUAGGCUUCUUCUGUAGGCUGCUUC